UGAUCUGAAAGCUGCAGGGUGAACAGACACAGCAGGAUCAGUUAUAUUUUCUUUGCACUGUAAGGAGUCCACAAUUACUGUGUAGUCCAGGAAGUAGAUGGUCCUAGAGGUUCCCUCUUCAGAAGCAGUGCAUUCUCAGUGCAGAUGUCAGCAAUCUUCCACCUGUGCCUUUAGGGCUGGCGGGUGAAUGCAUCCUUAAUCCGGUAUGUGCCACUACCUCUAGGCUAUAGCUGUUCUCUGAACUCCUGCAUCACCAUCAAAGCCUUCACCUUAUUUCUUGAAUUUGUGGAAAGGGGAUCUGCAGAGCAUUACAUAAUGGGACUCACAUUUAGUGGAGGAUUUCGAGUAUUUAUUUUGUUGCUGUGGUCGGGAUUAAGUACUGCCAUGAUAACAAUAGCCCACAUUGGGAAUGUUGAAUUUUCCACUUGAAUAAAAAGUAUUCCGCACUUGAAAAAUAAAAUCUGCCGCCUUUAAAAACACACUAUUGAAAUUAAAGUACAUCAUUUCAAUACGUCGGAUGAAAGGUGUUAUGUACAAGGAUAAAUGUCUGCUACAACCUGUGGUUCCAUUUUACUUAAUGGUGGCAGGAGCGAGUUACUUAAUGAUCAUCCUACUGGUGUCAUUGAAGUGUUUGUCCCAUCAGUUAUUUGCAGUACUGAAAGUGUUCCUAUUAGUAUUUAUUCUGUGUUGGUUAAUCGCUGGCAGUGUAUGGAUAUUUCCCAUUUAUUUUAUGUAUUCUGUCCUAUGCAAUAGUGUCCUCUACCAGUUUGCAUUCGGUGUUCUGGUUUUCCAAUAUAUAUCUAUUAUUAUAUUCUUUGUUACAUUGGUGUUUGCCGUCUACUUUACCGGACUGAAGAGACUUGUUGAAUCCUUUUCUAUUUAAGCACAUUACAACAGGCGAAACUAGAAUGUCUGGCAUCUCACCCAGUUACAGAAAGAAUGUUGAAUGAUCUGUAAUAAAAUAUUUUUCGUUGUAUUGCA